AAGUAAAGAGAGAUUUUCGAGAACAGCUAAUUCGGCUGCGUGGCUGUUGCGCAGAAGAUGCUCAGCGUUGCCU